rnacentral:rRNA from 1 species
GAUCCUGGCUUAGGAUGAACGCUAGCUACAGGCUUAACACAUGCAAGUCGAGGGGCAGCAUGGUCUUAGCUUGCUAAGGCCGAUGGCGACCGGCGCACGGGUGAGUAACACGUAUCCAACCUGCCGUCUACUCUUGGACAGCCUUCUGAAAGGAAGAUUAAUACAAGAUGGCAUCAUGAGUUCGCAUGUUCACAUGAUUAAAGGUAUUCCGGUAGACGAUGGGGAUGCG